rnacentral:lncRNA from 1 species
AUUUAAUCAUGUUUCUUUGGGUUCCUCUUAGUUGUGACAGUUUCUCGGGCUUUCCUUGUUUUUGAUGACCUUAUGUUUGGGGGGUACUAGUGUGGUAUUUUGUAGGGUGCUCUCUAAUGGGAUUUGACGAUUUUCUCAAGAUAAUGGAACCAGCUACAGUGGUGCUGCAUGCCUGUAAUCCUUGCAGCUUGGGAGGCUGAGGCAGGAGGAUCGUGAGUUCAAAGCCAGCCUCAGCAACAGCCAGGUGCUAAGCAACUCAGUGAGACCCUGUCUCUAAAUAAAAUACAAAAUAGGUCUGGGGAUGUGGCUCAGUGAUCAAGUGCCCCUGAGUUCAAUCACUGGUAAUCUGCCCCCUAAAAAAAAAAAAAAAAAGAAUGGAAUUAUGGGUUUUGGGAGAAGACCACAGAGGUCAAAUGUCAUUUUCAUCACAUCAUAUUAACAUUAUUUAUCACUGUUUAUAUUGACCUUGACAUCUGGCUAAGUGAGUGUUUGUCAGGUUUAUCUAUCCACUGUAAAGUUAUUUUUCUUUAUAUUGUGUUCUUCGGAAGGAAGUUAUUUUGUGCACCCCACACUUACAAAAUGUGGAGUUAUGCUUUACUUUGAAUGUCCAGUAUUUACAUAAGUUGAGAGAUUAGUCUUCCUUCCCCCACUUAUUUACAAUGAUUUAUACCAGUAUGAAUUCGUGGAUAUUUAC